rnacentral:rRNA from 1 species
CCUACGGGGGGCUGCAGUAAGGAAUAUUGGUCAAUGGACGCAAGUCUGAACCAGCCAUGCCGCGUGGAGGAUGAAGGUCCUCUGGAUUGUAAACUUCUUUUAUUUGGGAAGAAACUCCCGAUUUCCAUCGGGAUUGACGGUACCAGAUGAAUAAGCACCGGCUAACUCCGUGCCAGCAGCCGCGGUAAUACGGAGGGUGUCGGCGUUACUCGGAUUCACGGGGUUGUAAGUGUGCAGAGAUGGGCGUGUUGAAAUCUCCGUGCUUAACCCGGAAACUGCCAUUGAUACUAUUUGUCUUGAAUACUCUGGAGGUGAGCGGAAUAUGUCAUGUAGCGGUGAAAUGCUUAGAUAUGACAUAGAACACCCAUUGCGAAGGCAGCUCACUACGGAAAUAUUGACGCUGAGGCACGAAAGCGUGGGGAUCAAACAGGAUUAGAUACCCGUGUAGUC